CAAACUGGGAUUUUGAGGGUAUAUGGAGAUAAUACAUUUCCUUGUAUAUGCACUGCGGAUGCAGUGAGUACAAGGCGCGAUCUUUAUUAUUAUGCCUCUCACUAUCUUCGGAAAUUUUGCCACAACUGCGACACUUGGAGUCUCUCGCGCCAACCAAGCCUACCAAGCCUUCUAAUGUUGCUUUGUUGUCGAUUUGUGUUUCAUAUGAAAGAUUACUAUUAUACCUACGCGUCGUGUGCAGUUUGUGUUGGCCAGAAAGGUCCGCUACAUCUGUCUGUCAAUCGGCUGUUGAACGAAAAAUUCCCUUCACUUGCUGGCU
rnacentral:sRNA from 1 species